UUGGGGGGAAGGUCAGCACUCCCAGCUGAUGCUGGGAGAAUGCUCUGGGAGAGAAGCAUCCCUGGAGACAGCCCUCCUUCCAGCAGCACAUGGCAGAGCUCUGAGACUUCCCUUUCAGUGGGAGGCACAGGAGAUAUUUUGGACUGCAAGCUGUGGCUUUAAAAAAACCCACCCAGUAGUGAUUUGAGGUUUUCUUCUUGAAGCCUUCCUGACUUUGAACAUAAAUUGCAUCUGUUUUGGUAAGCAGGCUACCAGCAAGCCAGACCUGUUCCUGGGAUUACUGUGACCACAGGUAUAGCUGUUUCUUUUCCAUAUGGGACGACUUAGGCCCCUGUUCCCUGCUGUUGUGUGGUUGGAUUUUACCUUCCUCCACGUCAUGGCAUUUUGGAAAGAGCGGCUUGUUUUACAGAGCAGCUGUGUUGUCUUAAUGCAGCUGUAACGUGUGUUUGUCUCGGGGCACAGCAGGACUAGGAAGAGGUUUUAUUAGAUCAUUCCCAGGUCCCAAUAAUCUCUGAGUCUCUCAGAUCUGUGCCUGUCAGCUGUGCUGCUCUCGCUCCGUGGGUCAGGGCUGGAAGCUGAAGAUGGGAAAUCACUUGUGUGUGAUCCUUUAUCUGCUUCAUCUCACAGCUACCGCUCCCCUCCUGGCUGUUUGUAGCAGUCAGAGAGGACCUAGUUCUUGUAUCCCAGACCUUAAACCACAGCCUAACAGCCUCCAAGGGACCCUCCCUGCUUGGGCUGGUGUUUGUGGGACUGCUGGUGGCUCUGCAGCUGGAUCCCAAGGAGCGUUCCCAUCCCAUCGCCACUGACUGCCAGCAUCGGGAUCACGGCCACCCAGGGAGUUGGACGUGAUGGAGCUGGACACACACCAGGGAAAUCAACGAUCUGAUGGAGAAUCCCGAGGGAGCUCAGGUCCCCAUCCUGCUGGACAGCUGGAGGAUGUUCCCACCAAAUGAUCAGCAGGUCGAGAAUGCUGCAUAAAACACUCAGCAGUGCCCCUUUAACGUGGAAGCAACUUGACUUUUAUUGCCAAUGCUGAAAGCAUCUACAAAUGUAGAUUUAGCAUCAGCCUCCAGGCUUAAGAUACAGCUGUUAUAUUUUCCUUUCUUCCUUUAAUUUUUUCCCCCUCUCUCCUUUGCACUAAUGUAAUGCUUAUUUAGGAACUACAGCCAUCUGUGGUUGCUAGGGAUGGCACUGUUAAAUUUGCUGUUGCUUUCUUUCCCCUGGUUUGAUGAGGCUCUCAGUGCACAGAGAAUUCCCCAGGACAGCAGAGACUCGCUUUGAUUGCUUUUUUUUGAAACACAUCCUAAAGACAUUGUUCACAGGGCUCUGUCUGUGCUGAGAAAAGGUGGUCAGCUGGAGAGCUGAGAUCCUGCCUUGUCGUGGGUUAAUGAGGUGAGAUCAUGAAGAACCAGGCAGCAAAAGAAAUUGAUGAAAUUAGAGGGGAUGGCAAAUAACAAGGGAGAGAAGGAGGAAGGGCUGGGACCGGAGCUCUUCCUGUUCCUCACAGCAGCCUGUGGUUAAUGGUGAGAUGAUCCACAUGGGAACUGGGGCACUUGCAGUACUCAAGGGAAUUUUUUAGUGUUUUUCCAGUGAAAUGCUGUGCCUGAGCAGAUGGACAGGGAUCUGCCCCGAGUGGGCAGUCUGGAGCUGGGCACAGCCCUGCACAGCAGGUGUGGUGUUGCCAGCAGGGACUUGGCUCUUUGUGUCAGCGAAGGCAAAGUUGGCUUCUGCCUCUUUUGUCCCUGAGUUGCCUUUAAAUGCCUUGUGUUCACCCUUGUGAGGAAAGGUAAAUCUUAAAAAUUGCUAUAAAGAGAAAGAAAAAUAUCUCUCACUUGGCCAAUGCCCUGUAGAGAGAGCCGCUCUAUAUGUCCUACAAGUGAUUUACCUUUUAAUCUCCAUCUCUUUGAUUUUGUUUGGUGUUCUUUCAGUCACCUGCUCCUUUAAAUUGUCCUCUGUGGGAGCCACAGCUCCUCUUUCCACUCUGGAGCCUCUUCACUGUGGAUUGCCCUUUUCAUGGGAAGGUUAAUAACAAGUUUAUCAGAAAAUACUCUUGCAUCUUAUGGAAAAUCAGAGGGGAGGUGCUGCUUUUUGGUCUACAGGAGCUGAUAUAGGUUGUGUUUGACCAGAAAUCCUUUGGCUGCAUCUCCUUGGGUACCCAGGCCCAUUCCUUGCCCCUGUCCACACUUGUCCUGCAAAGCAGGUUGGCUUCAGGCUGUUUGAAAUGGCUUUGCCACCUCCCAGGAUGGGAUGAGAUGUUCAAAAUUAUGAUUGUUUUUUUUUUCCCCCAGUUCAAAGCCAGGGCAGAGACUGCCACAGCCAUGAUGGGGGGAGUUGGUCGAGUUCCAGGUGUCAGGAAAGUCAGUUUAUCUCUCCAGGCUGCCUGAAGGUCCCUGUGUGCCCGAGAUCCCAGAGUCACUGGAAGCUCCUUAGCUGUCCCCAAGACUGAUGGUUCUCCACCCUUCAAAUCCAGGCAGUCCAGAGCCUGGAUCACGCCUGGCAUGUUCCAAACCAGUCCCUGGGAUGUCUCAGGGCAUGCUGGGCACCCUGAGCUGGAGGUGAGGAUUGGAACCUGCCCUGCUGAAGGCACAGGGAUGAGCCUGGCACCAUGGUCCUGCAGCUGUCAGCAUGAUGAAUGGGUGUUAUGUUUUAUUUCCUGCUUUAUCAAAUACUAAUUAUGUAGAUUAUAAUUCUCAGCAUCA